GUGCUCACUUCAGCAACACAUAUACUAAAAUUGGAACAAUACAGAAAAGGUUAGCAUGGCCUCUGCACAACGAUGACAUGCAAAUUCGUGAAGCGUUCCAUUAAAAA
ensembl:snRNA U6 U6 spliceosomal RNA